UGGGGAAUUUUGGACAAUGGGCGAAAGCCUGAUCCAGCAAUGCCGCGUGUGUGAAGAAGGCCUUCGGGUUGUAAAGCACUUUUGUCCGGAAAGAAAUCCUUGGCUCUAAUACAGUCGGGGGAUGACGGUACCGGAAGAAUAAGCACCGGCUAACUACGUGCCAGCAGCCGCGGUAAUACGUAGGGUGCAAGCGUUAAUCGGAAUUACUGGGCGUAAAGCGUGCGCAGGCGGUUUGCUAAGACCGAUGUGAAAUCCCCGGGCUCAACCUGGGAACUGCAUUGGUGACUGGCAGGCUAGAGUAUGGCAGAGGGGGGUAGAAUUCCACGUGUAGCAGUGAAAUGCGUAGAGAUGUGGAGGAAUACCGAUGGCGAAGGCAGCCCCCUGGGCCAAUACUGACGCUCAUGCACGAAAGCGUGGGGGAGCAAAACAGGAUUAGAUACCCUGGUAGUCCACGCCCUAAACGAUGUCAACUAGUUGUUGGGGAUUCAUUUCCUUAGUAACGUAGCUAACGCGUGAAGUUGACCGCCUGGGGAGUACGGUCGCAAGAUU
rnacentral:rRNA from 1 species